rnacentral:rRNA from 1 species
AUUGAACGCUGGCGGCAGGCCUAACACAUGCGAGUCGAGCGGAUGAAGGGAGCUUGCUCCUGGAUUCAGCGGCGGACGGGUGAGUAAUGCCUAGGAAUCUGCCUGGUAGUGGGGGAUAACGUCCGGAAGCGGGCGCUAAUACCGCAUACGUCCUGAGGGAGAAAGUGGGGGAUCUUCGGACCUCACGCUAUCAGAUGAGCCUAGGUCGGAUUAGCUAGUUGGUGGGGUAAAGGCCUACCAAGGCGACGAUCCGUAACUGGUCUGAGAGGAUGAUCAGUCACACUGGAACUGAGACACGGUCCAGACUCCCACGGGAGGCAGCAGUGGGGAAUAUUGGACAAUGGGCGAAAGCCUGAUCCAGCCAUGCCGCGUGUGUGAAGAAGGUCUUCGGAUUGUAAAGCACUUUAAGUUGGGAGGAAGGGCAGUAAGUUAAUACCUUGCUGUUUUGACGUUACCAACAGAAUAAGCACCGGCUAACUUCGUG